rnacentral:rRNA from 1 species
GAUGAACGCUGGCGGCGUGCCUAAUACAUGCAAGUCGAGCGAACUGAUUAGAAGCUUGCUUCUAUGACGUUAGCGGCGGACGGGUGAGUAACACGUGGGCAACCUGCCUGUAAGACUGGGAUAACUUCGGGAAACCGAAGCUAAUACCGGAUAGAAUCUUCUCCUUCAUGGGAGAUGAUUGAAAGAUGGUUUCGGCUAUCACUUACAGAUGGGCCCGCGGUGCAUUAGCUAGUUGGUGAGGUAACGGCUCACCAAGGCAACGAUGCAUAGCCGACCUGAGAGGGUGAUCGGCCACACUGGGACUGAGACACGGCCCAGACUCCUACGGGAGGCAGCAGUAGGGAAUCUUCCGCAAUGGACGAAAGUCUGACGGAGCAACGCCGCGUGAGUGAUGAAGGCUUUCGGGUCGUAAAACUCUGUUGUUAGGGAAGAACAAGUACGAGAGUAACUGCUCGUACCUUGACGGUACCUAACCAGAAAGCCACGGCUAACUACGUGCCAGCCGCCGCAGUAAGAC